rnacentral:lncRNA from 1 species
AUCAUUCUUGUUAGUUCUCCCGCCAGUUUAUUAAGCAAUUUUAUUUUUAACAGUCGCUGAAAAUGAGCAUCAUCGUGCCUACCUGGUGGGAAUUAUAGCAGUACAGUGGGAGGGGACGCACUGGUGACCAUGCACUUUACCUAGACUCUCACCCAAAGGGUACGGGCUGGGCUCUUUGUUCAGGUUAGGGUACAGAUCGUGAUGUUUCAUCUGUUGGAUGAUGUGUAGCUAAAGUUCUGGGCAAGUCAAAUAUUAAACCUCACCUGGCCGAUGUCCCAGGGGAACUGCACUGUCGCCUUUCUCUUGGAAUAACUUGGAUUGAUUCGUGUGAGUCCAGAAUUUUCUUGGCAUACUUUUUAAAAAAAUGUAUAAAAUGAUCCCAGUUUGACUUAUUUCAGAAUUACAUGUUGAUGGAAAGGCCAGUUAUCUGUCACAUCUGAUUCUGGGAUCUAGUUUCAUUUAUCAGGUUCUUUCUUCAGCACUUACUGAUCCAGCUCUCUCUUUCUUGUAAGUUGUGGACACUUACACACCCGUCCUUGGUCACUUCUAGUUCAACAGAAUCCCCAUUUCUUGAGGUGCUCGGCAAGUUACCUUUCUUUGCCUAGGGUUUGGCACUCUUCACUUGGCGUUGCCUGUCUCCUCAAAUACACACUGCUCUUGUUGAGGCUGUUGUGUGGAGCUCAUCUGGUAUGUUUAGAUUCCUGGGAGGUUGGGUGUUCGAGACAGGGGUUCUCUGUGUAGCCUUGUCUGUCCUGGAACUAGAUUUUAGAUUCUUAAUCAUGGAGAAGCUUGGAUAUUUUAGUUUUUAGAGUGUCCCCAUUUUUUUUAAGAAUGAAUUUUGAUCCUUUCUCUACCUUAUAACAUAGGAUGGAUCAUGAUUUUUAUCUUUGCCACCUCCCCCAGAUGGUGGUCACCAGUGACUAUUGCUUUACACUGUGACAAGCAGUUGGCAGGUACUAGGUAUUGAAGAAGGUAAACAACUUAGAGUAUUUUUGCUAUGACUUUAUAGGAGAAAUGAGCUGUCAAAAGAAAUAUGUACAAGCCAGGGAGCAUUUAGGAUAGAAAGUUUUUGGAGACAGGGUUUUGCAGUGUAGCCUAGACAAGCCCCCAGCUCAGGAUCUUCCUGCUUCAGCUUCCCAAGUGCUGCUUGUCACAGAUGUGCACCAUCUUGCCCAGCUCUGCUAGGAAGCUGUUCUAUAGAUGGUCAUAGGUGUUUUUCAGGAUAUAAGACUAACACACAAGUUUACACACCUUUUGUUGUCCUGAUAGUGUCUAUAGCUCAGCGCGUUCCCUGAUUCUUGUGCUGCUUACGGGAGUGAUUGUUUUAAACAUGCUGUUUUUGUGCCUUUCAGAGAGUCAUAGUCAUGGUAGCUGUGUUUGCUGGAGUUCAUGGGAACCUCACUAAAGGAUGGCCGGAGUGCUAGACUGGUAGCAGUCAUGAUAAUGCCAAGAAAAAGUGGUGGCUCUUUUGAAGGCUCAGUGUGCUUUGUGAACUGAGUUCUUAGUGUUUAGUGGCAAGGCAGGCCCGCUUUUGCUUGCCUUACAAGGUCAUUUCAUCUCUGUUGUACAAAACACGGCUGCUCCUGCUCUACCUCUCUGUUAAAGCAAAGCAAGUCACAUUCUUGAAGACUGGAAUGCUUACUUUUUUGUUUGUUUCUUACUGAGAACCUUGUAUAAGCAGCUACUACUGCCACCUUCAGCUCCUGAUGAUCUGUGAGCGGGUUCUAGCCAUUCUUUAAGAUCCUUGGUCAGACUCCCUUCCCUUCGCUCUGUCAGCCCCUCUUACUAUUCCUGAUAUCAGACAGCAUGCAGAAACAUUGUGCGCAUGUUGACUCAGAUGCUCCUCAGUGACUUGAAUUCUUUCAGCUGUGUUACUCUAUUAGAUGGGUCAUCAGAAGGCUGUCAGAGAUAAGAACAGGGAAGACAGAGAUGGACAUGAGCAGAGAGGAGGAAAAAUGGCUCCCUUACUGGUGUCGGGAAUCUUCCACAUAGAGGUCAUGGUCUAAGAAUCUAAACUUUUUACCUGUAGAUUUAAAACAUUGCCUUUCUCAUACAUUCCUCAUCCUCGUUUCCCCAAAAGACUCUUGUCAGGGUUUAUGAGGCCGACCAGAUUAAAUACCCAUAUUCAGUUUCUCUUGAUUUUCUUAAGAAGUAUUUUAAUUCCCUUGUGUAUUUGGUGUUCACUACUGUUCUUGUGACUCAAGUCUCAGAGAGAAACUGCGGUCAGCCACCUCGGUCCUCCUGUUGCACGUGGGUGGCGGCAUCCGUGUGUACCGAUGCAGUUACGGCACCUUGUGAAAAGGAGUGUGAGCGGUGUCUAUCCGAGGAUAGGAAACUUCAGUCUGCACUUCUGUGAGCCAGAAGAAUACAAAGCUGUCACAUUUCCAGCAGUUUAGUUUUCAUUCUUAGCUCUUUUUGAAAAAUCUUAAAAUACUUUAACAUUCCUUAAGUAGUGUCAAAUCUAGGGUAGAAGGCUUUUUUCCCCCCAUCCUAAAAAGGGCUCCAUCUUUUUCAUCUUUUUGUUACUCUUAGAAAUUUAUGCUCAGUACAUUUUAAUAGUUUCUGGUCUCUAGACUAUGUCAGCAUUGGAGUGGUUGGUUGUGAAUAUCAAGCUACUACUGUUUUUCUUUGGAGACAUGAACUUUCUGUUUGGGGCAUAGAAGGUCUGGUUUAAGCAACAUGUGAAAGAUCACCUAAACCAAAGCCCGCUCGCUGUAAGGGCAGUUGCCUCCUGUUGGUUCACCUUCACCUUGAACGACAGGAACACUUCAGUGCGCAGUGAGUGUUGUCUGUAACGUCUCUACCUGGGCUUUCAGUCGCGUGUUGCUCUUCGCAUUUCCUAAAGUUCCUGAUGCUAUGAUUCUGGUUUUUGUGGUGUUUUGCUGCUUGUGUGUGAUUGAUUAUUGGUUUGUUUGUUUGAACUAAGUGGGACUAUAAAUGUAGAUAGAUGUGUUUUAGUACCAAGAUGUUCUUUUUUCAUUAUCAGUCUUUCAGAUGUCUAUUUUCUUGCUGAAUAGCAGAGGACUUUAUUUCCACCUCCCUAUAAAGUGUGAGCACUGUGUUUCAGCGAGCUGCAUUGCGUACUUUUGCUGAAAACUUCUCUGUAAACACAAUUGCCUUGUUGAGUUUCAUUGUAAACUGACUCGCCAUGCGAUGCACUGUUGAUAGCUUCCUGAUGUGUGGUGGAUAAGAGUGAUAAAAUAAAGCUU